UUUUCUCUUUCCUUGUAGUAUGGGGAAGGAGUGGACUCUAGGACUGGUGGUACUACUAAUUUGAGUAAUCGAAUUGUAUCAAUUCUUUAUUGAUAGUUUUGCGAAGCCUAAAAAAAAAUGUCUCUUUUUCAAAAUGAUAUCUGGAAUAUAGUAAUGAGUAAGAAAACACAAUAAUGAAUAAUAACCAUUCGAUCAAACAAUGAAUAAUUACCAUAAUUGUAUUUUGAAACUCAAAUCUACGCAUGCUAGGAAAUUUUGUCUAACCGAAUUUUCCUAACUAUUCUAUUUUGGUGAAUCAGCUCUUACCAAAAUUUUGGAUAUUACAACGAGAAAAACCAACCCCUAUUUUUUCUUUCUUUGUUUCACUCUUUCUUUACUUUUACUGUUCUAAGAGAAAGGUGUUCCGCUAUUACGGGAAUACAUCCUUUCUACUAGAAGUGACUAGUAGUUGUCCAAAGAAGUCCUACACAAAAAAAAGAUCUUUCUUCGGUUGAUCAAUCUGCAUAUCGAACACUUAACGUUUGUUUUAGACUCUUAGAAUUUUUUUUAUGUUUUUUUUU
rnacentral:misc_RNA from 1 species